GACGAACGCUGGCGGCGUGCUUAACACAUGCAAGUCGAGCGGUAAGGCCCUUUCGGGGGUACACGAGCGGCGAACGGGUGAGUAACACGUGGGUGACCUGCCCUCAGCUCUGGGAUAAGCCUGGGAAACCGGGUCUAAUACUGGAUAUGACUCCAUGACGCAUGUUGUGGGGUGGAAAGCCUUGUGCGGCUGAGGAUGGGCCCGCGGCCUAUCAGCUUGUUGGUGGGGUGANGGCCUACCAAGGCGACGACGGGUAGCCGGCCUGAGAGGGCGACCGGCCACACUGGGACUGAGACACGGCCCAGACUCUACGGGAGGCAGCAGUGGGGAAUCUUGCGCAAUGGGCGAAAGCCUGACGCAGCGACGCCGCGUGAGGGAUGACGGCCUCGG
rnacentral:rRNA from 1 species